rnacentral:rRNA from 1 species
ACGAACGCUGGCGGCACGCUUAACACAUGCAAGUCGAACGAGAGAAGAGGAGCUUGCUUUUCUGAUCUAGUGGCGGACGGGUGAGUAACACGUGAGCAAUCUGCCUUUCAGAGGGGGAUACCGAUUGGAAACGAUCGUUAAUACCGCAUAACAUAAUUGAACCGCAUGAUUUGAUUAUCAAAGAUUUAUCGCUGAAAGAUGAGCUCGCGUCUGAUUAGCUAGUUGGUAAGGUAACGGCUUACCAAGGCGACGAUCAGUAGCCGGACUGAGAGGUUGAUCGGCCACAUUGGGACUGAGACACGGCCCAGACUCCUAUGGGAGGCAGCAGUGGGGAAUAUUGCACAAUGGAGGAAACUCUGAUGCAGCGAUGCCGCGUGAGGGAAGAAGGUUUUAGGAUUGUAAACCUCUGUCUUCAGGGACGAAAAAAGACGGUACCUGAGGAGGAAGCUCCGGCUAACUACGUGCCAGCAGCCGCGGUAAUACGUAGGGAGCGAGCGUUGUCCGGAAUUACUGGGUGUAAAGGGAGCGUAGGCGGGAUCGCAAGUCAGAUGUGAAAACUAUGGGCUUAACCCAUAAACUGCAUUUGAAACUGUGGUUCUUGAGUGAAGUAGAGGUAAGCGGAAUUCCUAGUGUAGCGGUGAAAUGCGUAGAUAUUAGGAGGAACACCAGUGGCGAAGGCGGCUUACUGGGCUUUAACUGACGCUGAGGCUCGAAAGCGUGGGGAGCAAACAGGAUUAGAUACCCUGGUAGUCCACGCCGUAAACGAUGAUUACUAGGUGUGGGGGGACUGACCCCUUCCGUGCCGCAGCAAACGCAAUAAGUAAUCCACCUGGGGAGUACGACCGCAAGGUUGAAACUCAAAGGAAUUGACGGGGGCCCGCACAAGCAGUGGAGUAUGUGGAUUAAUUCGAAGCAACGCGAAGAACCUUACCAGGUCUUGACAUCGUAUGCAUAGCUCAGAGAUGAGUGAAAUCUCUUCGGAGACAUAUAGACAGGUGGUGCAUGGUUGUCGUCAGCUCGUGUCGUGAGAUGUUGGGUUAAGUCCCGCAACGAGCGCAACCCUUACUGUUAGUUGCUACGCAAGAGCACUCUAGCAGGACUGCCGUUGACAAAACGGAGGAAGGUGGGGAUGACGUCAAAUCAUCAUGCCCCUUAUGACCUGGGCCUCACACGUACUACAAUGGCUGUCAACAGAGGGAAGCAAAGCCGCGAGGUGGAGCAAACCCCUAAAAGCAGUCUUAGUUCGGAUUGUAGGCUGCAACCCGCCUACAUGAAGUCGGAAUUGCUAGUAAUCGCAGAUCAGCAUGCUGCGGUGAAUACGUUCCCGGGCCUUGUACACACCGCCCGUCACGCCAUGGGAGUCGGUAACACCCGAAGCCUGUAGUCUAACCGCAAGGAGGACGCAGUCGAAGGUGGGAUUGAUGACUGGGGUG